rnacentral:rRNA from 1 species
AGCGAACGUUAGCGGCGGGCCUAACACAUGCAAGUCGCACGAGAAUUCGGCUUCGGCCGAUAGUAAAGUGGCGGACGGGUGAGUAACACGUGAGUAAUCUGCCCUUCAGUUGGGGAUAACAGUCCGAAAGGAUUGCUAAUACCGGAUUCGUCGCCGAGACCCUCGGGUCUUGUCGGGAAAGCAGGCCUCUCCAUGGAAGCUUGCGCUGAAGGAUGAGCUCGCGGCCCAUCAGCUAGUUGGUAGGGUAAUGGCCUACCAAGGCUAAGACGGGUAGCUGGUCUGAGAGGAUGAUCAGCCACACUGGGACUGAGACACGGCCCAGACUCCUACGGGAGGCAGCAGUGGGGAA